rnacentral:rRNA from 1 species
UGACUUAAGCAUAUCAAUAAGCGGAGGAAAAGAAACCAACAGGGAUUGCCUUAGUAACGGCGAGUGAAGCGGCAACAGCUCAAAUUUGAAAGCUGGCCCUUUUAGGGUCCGCAUUGUAAUUUGUAGAGGAUGAUUCGGCGAGGGCUCCUGCCUAAGUCCCCUGGAACGGGGCGUCAUAGAGGGUGAGAAUCCCGUAUGCGGUAGGUUGCCUUAGCCAUGUGAAUCUCCUUCGACGAGUCGAGUUGUUUGGGAAUGCAGCUCUAAAUGGGAGGUAAAUUUCUUCUAAAGCUAAAUACCGGCCAGAGACCGAUAGCGCACAAGUAGAGUGAUCGAAAGAUGAAAAGCACUUUGGAAAGAGAGUUAAAAAGUACGUGAAAUUGUUGAAAGGGAAGCGCUUGCAACCAGACUUGUCCGCAGUUGCUCAGCCGGUCUCCUGACCGGCGUACUCUUCUGCGGCCAGGCCAGCAUCAGUUCGGGCGGUCGGAUAAAGGCCUCGGGAAUGUGGCUCCUCUCGGGGAGUGUUAUAGCCCGGGGUGCAAUGCGGCCAGCCUGGACUGAGGAACUCGCUUCGGCAAGGAUGCUGGCGUAAUGGUUGUAAGCGGCCCGUCUUGAAACACGGACCAAGGAGUCUAACAUCUAUGCGAGUGUUCGGGUGUCAAACCCGUACGCGUAAUGAAAGUGAACGGAGGUGGGAACCCGCAAGGGUGCACCAUCGGCCGAUCCUGAUGUCUUCGGAUGGAUUUGAGCAAGAGCAUAGCUGUUGGGACCCGAAAGAUGGUGAACUAUGCCUGAAUAGGGUGAAGCCAGAGGAAACUCUGGUGGAGGCUCGCAGCGGUUCUGACGUGCAAAUCGAUCGUCAAAUUUGGGUAUAGGGGCGAAAGACUAAUCGAACCA